CCCAAACCUGGAGCUCAGAGAGAGUUCCCCAUGGGGCCCUGCCUUUAAUCCCCGAUGCAUUUUUGGUUGUGUAAUUCCAAGGAGAGUGGCUCCUGCUCCCAUCUGCCCCUGCCAUCUGCUGCCCAGGGCUCUGCGGAGGAGGGAGCUGCUCCUGGAGCCCAGCUGGGCAUGGCAGCUCCUCAUGGGCAGCAUCUGUGCCCGCUGCAGCCUUUCCCUGGCUCCCAAAGCCACUUUGCUCCUGCUGGGCUCGCUGGGGAUGCUCUGCUGCCCUCACCCGAGGCCUGGGGACAGCCAGCACAAAGUGUCCCUUUCUAGUCCCAAAAUGUCCCUUUCUAGUCCCAAAAUGUCCCUUUCUAGUCCCAAAAAGCCUGGCCUGGCACCUGCUGGGGCCAGUGGAGACAGAGUGUCCCAGUGCUCCCAGUGCUCCCAGUCCAAGAUUUCUCAGCAUUCUCAGUGCCCAAAGACCUCCCAGUGCUCCCAGUGCUCCUUCCCAGUGUUCCCAUUGCCUGAAGGCUUCUCAGUUCUCUGAGUGCUCCCAGUGUUCCCAGUGCUCUGAGCCUUCCCAGUCCCCAAAAGUUUCCAGUUCUCCCAGUGUUCCCAGUGCCCCAAAACCUCCCAGUGCUCCCAGUGCCCAAAAACCUCCCAGUAUUCCCAGUGUUCCGAGUGUUCCCAGUGCUCUCAGCCUUCCCAGUCCCCAAAACUUUCCAGUUCUCCCAGUGUUCCCAGUGCCCCAAAACCUCCCAGUGCUCCCAGUAUUCCCAGUGCUCCCAGUGCCUGAAAACCUCCUGGUGUUCCCAAUGCUGCCAGUGCCCAAAAACUGCCCGGUGUUCCCUAUAUUCCCAGUGCUCCCAGUGUUCCCAGUGCCCAAAAACCGCCCAGUGUUCCCGGUAUUCCCGGUGUUCCCAGUGCUCCCAGUGCCCGAAAACCACCCAGUGUUCCCAGUGCUCCCAGUGUUCCCAGUGCCCAAAAACCGCCCAGUGUUCCCCGUGUUCCCGGUAUUCCCAGUGUUCCCAGUGCUCCCAGUGUUUACAGUGCCCAAAAACCGCCCAGUGUUCCCAAUGUUCCCAGUGUUCCCAGUGCCCCUAGUGCCCAAAAUCCUCCCAGUGUCCCCACUGUUCCCAGUGCCUGAAAAACAUCCAGCAUUCCCAGUAUUCCCAGUGUUCCCAGUGUUCCCAGUGAUGCUGCCGGUGGUGCCUCCGGUGCCGGUUCCCCUCCNNNNNNNNNNNNNNNNNNNNNNNNNNNNNNNNN
rnacentral:lncRNA from 1 species